AUUGAACGCUGGCGGCAUGCCUUACACAUGCAAGUCGAACGGCAGCACGGGUGCUUGCACCUGGUGGCGAGUGGCGAACGGGUGAGUAAUACAUCGGAACAUGUCCUGUAGUGGGGGAUAGCCCGGCGAAAGCCGGAUUAAUACCGCAUACGAUCUACGGAUGAAAGCGGGGGACCUUCGGGCCUCGCGCUAUAGGGUUGGCCGAUGGCUGAUUAGCUAGUUGGUGGGGUAAAGGCCUACCAAGGCGACGAUCAGUAGCUGGUCUGAGAGGACGACCAGCCACACUGGGACUGAGACACGGCCCAGAUUCCUACGGGAGGCAGCAGUGGGGAAUUUUGGACAAUGGGCGAAAGCCUGAUCCAGCAAUGCCGCGUGUGUGAAGAAGGCCUUCGGGUUGUAAAGCACUUUUGUCCGGAAAGAAAUCCUUGGCCCUAAUACGGUCGGGGGAUGACGGUACCGGAAGAAUAAGCACCGGCUAACUACGUG
rnacentral:rRNA from 1 species